CCUACGGGAGGCUGCAGUGAGGAAUAUUGGUCAAUGGACGAGAGUCUGAACCAGCCAAGUAGCGUGAAGGAUGACUGCCCUAUGGGUUGUAAACUUCUUUUAUAUGGGAAUAAAAUGUUCCACGUGUGGGAUUUUGUAUGUACCAUAUGAAUAAGGAUCGGCUAACUCCGUGCCAGCAGCCGCGGUAAUACGGAGGUUCCGAACGUUAUCCGGAUUUAUUGGGUUUAAAGGGAGCGUAGGUGGAUUGUUAAGUUAGUUGUGAAAGUUUGCGGCUCAACCGUAAAAUUGCAGUUGAAACUGGCAGUCUUGAGUACAGUAGAGGUGGGCGGAAUUCGUGGUGUAGCGGUGAAAUGCUUAGAUAUCACGAAGAACUCCGAUUGCGAAGGCAGUUCACUGGACUGCAACUGACACUGAGGCUCGAAAGUGUGGGUAUCAAACAGGAUUAGAUACCCCAGUAGUC
rnacentral:rRNA from 1 species